rnacentral:misc_RNA from 1 species
GUGCAUUGGUGAUGGCAGUGCCACAUACCACGGAGGGACUUAGAGAUUAUUUGUUGUCCAAGAUUUUCUUACUUACAGCAACACCUCCUCCUUCAAGUGACAUGAUGCGUCGUCGUGAGAGAGCCAACACAUUUUGUGAAUCAAUUCGUGCUCUUGAUGCUACUGAUCUUUCUGCUUCAAGUGUCAGAGACUUCCUUCUACCUGCAAUUCAAAAUCUGUUAAAAGAUGCUGAUUCUCUUGAUCCAGCACACAAAGAAGCUCUGGAGAUCGUAAUGAGGGAAAGAUCUGGUGGAACAUUUGAUACGAUUAGUAAGGUAAUGGGUGCUCAUCUGGGAAUUGCGUCAUCAGUAAGCAGCUUUUUUGGCGAAGGUGGUUUACUAGGGAAAAGGGAAGCUGGAGAUCCAACAUCACCACCAGCACCAGUGGAAGUUGAACCUCUGAGGCCUGUCCUCACACAUGCAGCACCAGCAGAAGACACUAGAUUUAGGCGGAUCAUGAGAGGUGGUUUUACAGACAUGCUCAGAGGAAAAGCAAAGGGCGCCGGGGAUACUCCCCCAAGUCAAUGAUAAUGGCUCUUUCAUCUGCAGGAGAAUUAAAAAGGAAAGUAAGUUCUGUAUGUUGUGCAAUAGACUACAAUGCUUCCAUUUGUUGAUUCUGCGCUGAAGUUUUCCCUUCACAGGGAUGAAAUUUUGCAAUUUAUUUCAUUCUUUAUGUACAAGAAAUGUAAUGAAUUCGACAACAAAACGAGGAGAAAGUGUAUACAUUUACUAGUUGUACAAAAUGAUAUGGGAG